CCCCUCCGGGUGUCAGCCUUAGAUGGAUCUCGACUGCCGGAGAUGACAUUUUGAUCUUCUCUACCUCCCUGUCGGAACACGAGAAUCAUGUCCGCUUGGUGCUCCAACGCCUGCUUGAGAAUCGAUUAUUCGUGAAAAGAGAGAAGUUGGAGCAGUACCGCUCAACAGGCUUUCACCACUCUCAAAGACCUAUUUGCCUCCACACCGGUGUUGAUCCAGCCCGACAUC